UGCCGCCACCGCAAGAACCAUUUAGUCGUGCGCAAGAGCUAGAAUGGUAAGUGAGCUCUGAAUAAAUUGAAGAUGCUUUAUAUGGUCGGCGUGUUUGUUAUGGAACCUUUAUCAUGUGUCGCCUCCCUCCUUGCAAACACGCCGGGCAUCCCUCGUGCUUCCUAUCGACCCCCAUUGAACACGGUUUCGUAAACAAACUGCAAAAUCAAACUACGUCAUCAUUGCGGUGACUGCAAAUCGCCGCCUUCUUGCCCAGGACGCUGUAAAUUUUUGUAUGGAAGGGCCCUCGCUCAAGGCAGACGUUGGCAUGGCGAUCCUCGAAGCAAAGGCGUCUAUCAUGAACCUCUAUCACCUUGGCUACAAAGCAAGUUACGUGCACAUCAACUUUCUUUUAUUUACCCCUUCCUUUUUGCUGCAUUGAUUCUCUAAUUAUUUUUUCUGUUUUUGUUGUAUUUAUCACAUUUUUGUUUUAAAAAAAAGCACUAGUAAACUCUCCUGCUUCUUUCGGGUCAUUAUCGCCGCAGAAAAUUCUUUGCCCGUGGAAGAAGGGUAACUUAUGAGGCUAUGAUUGAUUGCCGACUGCUCCAUGCUUGUGGCCGCAAGUUUCACCAAGCUAGUCAAGGUCUUCCGUCCAUGAUAAUCCCAGGCCACAUAAGACUAGCAACCAUAGGUCUGCAAGUAAAACACUCAGAUGACGAAGAUAUGAUACGUAGAACUUUAGCUCAUGCCCCGUUUGGUCUAGCUAAUACUUCGUCGGUUUUAUGUCUUUCUAGAGAUUUUUUAUAUAGACUACAUACGGAUGUAUAUAAACGUAUUUUAGGAUGUAGAUUCACUCAUUUGCUCGGUAUGUAGUCCAUAUUAAAAUCUCUAAAAAGACUUAUACUUAAGAACGGAGGGAGUAGAAUGGAAUGAAGUGUUGUAGUACAAGUUAAACGGGUCACCGGGGCAACAUGACUUGUCUCACUUGAGACAAAGCAUGACAAUGCCAAGUUCCGGAAUCCAGUCCAAACACUCUCGAGUCUAUCUUUGGUGAGUAUCUUUAUAUAGGUGACUGAAGAUUAACAUUGCCUGCUCGUCCCAAACCCGAAAAACUUGCGCAGAUGCGAGUGGAGCGACGACAUGGCCCGUUCAUACAUUCCGGCCAUGCUGAUGGCCACCAGCUUGCUGCUCAUGGCUGCUUCAUCUCCUGCCCCGAGCAACAACACCGACCUUGCCGCGCUGCUGGCUUUCAAAUCCCAGCUCUCCGACCCUUUGGCUAUCAUUGCCAAUAACUGGACAACCGGUGCGUCCUUCUGCACCUGGAUCGGUGUGUUGUGCAGCCGGCGUCAGCACCAGCGUGUCACCGCUUUGGAGCUGCCGGACAUUCCCCUCCAAGAAGAGCUCAGCCCUCACCUCGGUAACCUCUCUUUCCUCCACACCCUUAACCUGACCAAUACGAACCUCACCGGUUCUAUCCCAGCUGAUCUUGGAAGAUUAGCCCGUCUUAGGUACCUUGAUCUUGGCCACAAUAGCCUGUCGGAUACAAUCCCGUCUACCGUUGGAAACCUCACCAGGCUUCAGUUUCUGGUCCUAAAUUUCAACCAGCUCUUGGGGCAGAUCCCCGGUGAGGUGCGAAACAUGCGUAGCCUUAGCUACUUCUCUCUCGGAAUAAAUUCCAUUACUGGCCUCAUGCCGAAUUUUUCAUUUGACAGCACGCCUUCACUGAGACACAUAUACAUUAACAACAACAGUCUAUCCGGCCCAAUACCUUCUGGUAUUGGCUCCUUGCUCAUGCUCCAGGUUCUUUACUUGAGGCGUAACCAGCUCUCCGGUCCAAUACCUCCUACCAUCUUCAACAUGUCUAGGAUUGUUGACUUGCGUCUGGGGAACAACAAUCUAACAGGUCAUAUACCUAGCAACAGAAGCUUUAGUCUCCCCAUGUUGCAAAUAUUUGAUCUCUACCGGAACAACUUCGGGGGUCAAAUUCCAUUGGGCCUUGCAUCAUGCCAGCAUCUUAGGAUACUUACCAUUCCUGGAAAUCUAUUCGUGGAUGUGGUGCCAACAUGGCUGGCUACGCUACCAGAGCUUACGGCGAUUUCUAUGGGAGGCAAUGACCUCGUUGGCCUGAUCCCGCCUGUGCUCGGCAAUCUCACCAUGCUCAGCGUACUUGACAUCGCAAACUCCAACUUAAGCGGAGAUAUUCCCGUGGAAUUAGGAGAACUGAGACAACUCAAUUAUCUGCACCUUUCGCACAAUCAACUAACAGGCCCCUUCCCGGAAUUUCUAGGAAAUUCGACAAAAAUGUAUUUCUUAAAUUUGAGAAUGAAUCAACUGACUGGACCAGUACCAUCAACACUUGGAAACAACAAACCUCUUCUGAUUCUUAGUAUUCAAGACACUGUUCAAGAAGGCGCUAUUAGGCGCUCGCCUAGGCGCGCUUAAGCGCUGGGCGUUGGCAUAGCGCCUCGCUUUGGCCCUAGGCGCUCAAAAAAGCGGCCGGCGAGGUCCUCCGGCGAGAAAUCAGCCUCUCCGGCGAGGAAUCAGCUUUCUGAGGUGAGAAAUCAGUCUCCCCGGCGAGGAUUCGACCUCCCCUGCGAGGAUUCAUCCUCGCCGACGAGGGAUUCAACUGCCCCGACGACAAAUCGAGCUUCUCCGGCGAGGGAUUGAGCUUCUCCGGCAAGGGAUCGAGCUUCUCCGACAAGGGACAGAGGAAGAGGGAGGGAGGCAGCCUCGUGCAACGAGACAGAAAGGACGAGGGGGGGAGGCGGCGUGAGGAGGAAACCUAAAUUUCCUAUCGACUGCAGCAGACGAGAGCUUUUAGUAGGAGGAUACGAAGAUGGGCCUAUGGUUUAGUGGGCUAGCCCAGCCCAUCUAGCUUAUUUCUUCACGUUACAGUACUAACGCCUAAUUGCGCCUAAUUGCGCCUAAUCAUGCCUAAGCUAGAAAAGCGCAAGUAGGUGCCCAAACGCAUAAUUAGUGCCUAGCGCUUUUUUGAACUUUGAUUCAAGAUAACCGUCUCCAAGGGGAUCUUAGUUUCUUGUCCAGCCUUUGCAAUUGUCGCCAACUUCAAUACCUCACCAUAUCAAAUAAUCUUUUCACUGGGAGUAUUCCCAACUAUUUUGGUAACCUCUCGACUAACCUGGUAGUAUUUGAAGCAUUGAAUAACAAUUUGGUUGGUGGGCUUCCAGAAACACUGUCAAAUCUUAGUAGUCUUCGUAAGAUAAACUUUGCCAACAACCAUCUUACCAAAGAAAUACCAGAAACCCUCUCUAAGUUGGAGAAUCUCCAAGCACUUGAUCUCUCAGGAAAUAGAAUGGUUGGCCCAAUCCCUGUACAAAUUGGUAUGCUGAGAAGUAUUGUAGAGUUACAACUCUGGGACAAUAUGUUAUCUGGCUCCAUACCAGAUGCCAUGGGCGACCUCACCAUGUUAGAGUACACUUCAUUUUCUUAUAACCGUUUAUCUUCGUCAAUUCCAUCAAGCUUAUUUUAUCGUAGUAACCUUAUCCAACUAGAUCUGUCCCAUAAUUCCCUAACCGGUACAUUACCUUCUGAUCUUAGCCAUAUGCAAACUAUGGACUGGAUAGAUCUUUCUGGUAACCUCUUGUCUGGUAGCCUUCCAAGUUCAUUUGGACAGGUUGCCAUGUUAUUAACCUACCUAAAUCUUUCGCACAACUCAUUUAAGGGUUUAGUCCCAAACUCUUUCGGCCGCUUAACCAACUUAGAAACAUUGGACCUAUCGUCAAACAACCUUUCAGGUACAAUACCAGACUACCUCGCCAACUUCACCUACCUUUCUUCUCUGAACCUCUCCUUCAAUGGGUUAGAAGGGCAAAUACCAAAUGGAGGUGUUUUCUCAAACCUCACCUUGCAAUCUUUGAUGGGGAAUGUUGGGCUAUGUGGUGCUCCUCGUCUAGGACUGUCACCGUGUCCGCACAAGUCUCACUUGACUUAUAGUCGACACACCCUCAAGUUUAUACUCCCGGUUGCCAUCAUUGGAGUUGGUGCAUUUGCAACCACCAUGUACCUAAUGGUCAGCAAGAAAAAUAAGAAACAAUAUUAUGGUACGGCUUCUACUAGCAUGACUGAUCUGAUCAGCCAUAGGUUAGUAUCCUACCAUGAGAUUGCUCGUGCCACUGAAAAUUUCAAUGAGGACAACCUACUUGGUACUGGAAGUUUUGGCAAAGUUUCAAGGGCCAAUUAGAUGAUGGUUUGGUGGUUGCAAUAAAAGUGCUCAAUAUGCAAGUCGAGCAGGCCGUGAGGAGUUUUGAUGCUGAAUGUCAAGUGUUGCGCAUGGCUCGACAUCGCAACUUGAUACAAAUAUUGAAUGCAUGUUCCAGCUUGGAUUUCAAGGCACUGCUCCUUCAGUACAUGCCCAAUGGUAGCAUGGAGACACACUUGCACAACGAAAUAAGGGAACCACUAAGAUUCAUCCAGAGAUUGGACAUUAUGCUUGCCGUGUCAGAGGCAAUGGAGUACCUGCACCAUCAUCAUUUCCAAGUUGUCUUGCACUGCGAUCUGAAGCCUAGCAACGUGUUGUUCGAUGACGACAUGACGGCGCAUGUUGCCGACUUUGGCAUUGCAAAGUUACUUCUACAUGAUGACAACUCCAUGGUUUCAGCAAGUAUGCCGGGGACAAUUGGGUACAUGGCCCCUGAGCUAGCAUUCAUGGGAAAGGCAUCACGAAAGACUGACAUGUUCAGCUUCGGGAUCAUGUUGCUUGAAGUCUUCACAGGGAAGAGGCCCACGGACGCUAUGUUCGUCGGGGAAUCUAGCCUCAGGUGGUGGGUUUCGCAAGCAUUUCCAGCAAAGCUCGUUGAUGUUUUGGAUGAGAAGCUACAACAGGGUGAAGAAAUGAACCUUGCCUUCCAUCACCAAACAAUUAAUACUUCGUCGCCGUCAUCCUCCAUUGCCUGCAAUGGAAACUUUCUUGUGUCGAUAUUCGAACUGGGUCUAGAGUGUUCGGACGACUCUCCUAGUCGGAGAGCAAGCAUGAGCGACGUGGUCGUGAGGCUCAAAAACAUUAAGAAGGAUUACUUUGCUUUCAUGGUGGCAACUCAAAGCGCGCAACAAAGUUCAUGAGAUAAUGUUUUAGUGCAUCUAUGUAGUGCAUAAUUUUCAGUUUUCCACUAAAAAUAUUUAUAUGGUAGUUAUUUUAAGAAAAUAACAAUACACUGGUGGAAAGAGGAUUUUCUGCAACGGUGCAAGUAAUAUUCGCUCUCCUCUUCAUUUUUUUUCUGAUUCUCAAAAAAUGUGAAAUAAUUCAGGAAUGUUAGUAGUGCUAUGUAAUGUGUACUUGUAAAGAUUCAUCCAAUAAUGUAACGAUUUGUGAUUUAGACAAAAAUGACAAGAUUAAAUUGAAUAGUGUGUUUGUAUCUUGA